ensembl:misc_RNA 7SK 7SK RNA
GGAUGUGACAAUAAUCUCGCUUCAACAUCUGCUACUCCACUGAUUACUAGGGCUGAUCUGGCUGGCUAGGCAGGUGUCCCCUUCCUCCCUCACCCAUCCAUGUGCAUCCCUCCCAAAUCUGCAUGUUCAGUCAAAGAGGAUGACCUUCCCUGUAGAUGCAUUCCCCUGCUAGAACCUCCAAACAAGCUCUCAAGAACCCUAGCAGCAAUAAAAAUAAUUAGUUAUAAAAGAGAAAAUGUGGAAAAUAUCUAGAGUUGUGUCUAGAACCCAGAGGAGACCCACAAGUGUUAGGUACUUCUGUUU